GACGAACGCUGGCGGCGUGCUUAACACAUGCAAGUCGAACGCUGAAGGCUCAGCUUGCUGGGCUGGAUGAGUGGCGAACGGGUGAGUAACACGUGAGUAACCUGCCCUCUUCUUUGGGAUGACGGUCGGAAACGGCUGCUAAUACCGGGUAUUCACUGUCCUUCGCAUGGGGGGUGGUGGAAAGGUUUUUUCUGGUGGGGGAUGGGCUCGCGGCCUAUCAGCUUGUUGUUGGGGUGAUGGUUUACCAAGGCUUUGACGGUGAUCCGGCCUGAGAGUGUGACCGGUCACUUUGCACUGUGAUACGGCCCGACUCCUACGGGAGGCAGCAGUUUGGAAUAUAAACUAGGGUCGAAAGGCUUAUGCUGUGACGCCGCUUGAUGGAUGAAGGCCUUGUGUUUGUUAUUUCUUUCCUUUGGUCAUCAACUGGUUGAGGUUUUGGGUGUUGUUGUGUGAUGUGUUCUAAGGAUGUUGCCUGGGUUUGCCGUGGAUGUGCGUUGGGUGUGUAAGCUUUGUGAAUGUUGUGGUGGUUUGGUGUGGUUGUUUAGUGAUUUACGUCUGACCUAUGUUGAGUAUGGGAUGGCGUGGGUUGCUCGGCUGUUGCUCCUUUGCGGAUGAGCCGAAAUGGUGUGAAAGCGGGGUGGUAGUGGUUUUACAUGCUAUGUUGUGCUCUUUUGUGUUGUUGUGCUGUUGUGGUGUUGUGUGGUGGUAUGUGAUACCUGUGUGUGUGUUGCCUGUGUUUACGUAUGUAUCUAUGUUUUGCGUGUGUUGUGUGUGAGUGAUGUGUUGUGUGUACGUUGUGAAAUGUGAAAUAACAAUAGAUGUUGAUAUAGUGUGUAUGUGUUUUUGUUUUAACUGUGUCAUGUGCGAUGCUCUGCAUAUUAUAUGUGUGGGGCUGCUUUACUGUAUGUGCGCAUCGCUGGCGUCCAUUGGCCGUAGUGUCUGUGUCUGAUUGAUGGUUGUCGUGCUGUGUGUGCGUUAGCUGUUGUGUGUCUAGUUAGACGUGUUGUAGUUGGCUUUUACUUAUAGUAUGGAGUCGCCUAUUCCUGCUAGCUGGAUGGUUUGAAUGAUAUAGUGCUUUGGUUAUAUGUAGAGCUAGUUGUUCGUUG
rnacentral:rRNA from 1 species